rnacentral:misc_RNA from 1 species
GUGAAUCAUCAAAUCUUUGAACGCAAAUUGCACUCUCCUCGGAGAGUAUGCCUGUUUGAGGGUCAGCCUAUAAAAAAUCGACAUCGUUGCCGUUUCGCGGUGGCGUUCGUCGGAAAUUGGGCAAUUUUAAAUCUUUUUGUUUUAAGCGACUUAAAAUUUUUUUUUGGUUCCUUGAACGUUUUUAGGUUUUAUUCUUUUACACGUUUAAGGAA